UGAGCCAUCUACCCUUUGUCAGUAAGAAGUGAUAACAGCAAAGAAGGAAACAGACUUCAGAAAAGACCGCCUACCUAAAAAGAGCAGCCAGAGAGAUUAAACCUACAUACAUAGCUUUAAUGGUGAUACUGUCACUAACAGAGAUAGAUGGAAGCUCUCACCAAAGAAGAGUUAUUAUAAUACUCUGUUUAUCACAGUGUCAGUACAGGACAUGUAGUCAUCCUAGUACAGAGUAACACUUCCUAUAUUGUACUUAGAAUGAGUAAUGAAUAUCAUGUGUGUAAAGAAUGUAUCAGAGCUUUUCAAAGCUGUAUCUGGGCAGGCAAGGAAGUUGGCUGCUUCACUCGGCAGGAGACUUCAGCCACUUUGUGCUACUUUGGUGGCAGAGAGCCCCUAGGAGGUUUUCUUUGAUUUCAGUUCUAUGAUUCUUGGCUGGCUGCAUAGGGAGGCUACUUUCUUAAGGACAGAGCCGCUGAUGGACAAAAAGCCCAGGAUGACUUGUGGGUUCUUUGAGGUGCCACAGAGGUCCCAGUACAAUCUUGAUUGUCUCCAAGUCAAAAUUAUCCAUUUUUCAGGAGGACAAGGCAGUGUCUAGGCACUGCUAAGUGGAUCAUCCAGGACUGUGGGCUUUGGGAGAGUGUGGAGGAGGCUGCUGCUGGACAUCAGCCACUGCAGUGGUUUUGAGUUCCUGUAUGCAGGCCUGUAGUGGGGAAAUAGGCAAAAACAAACAGUGAGAAAAAGUCUGAGGAGGGAACAGCACCAUUAAAGUAGAUACCUAAAGAAUUAAGAACCUUCAUUUUACUGUGACUCUCUUCUUGCCUUCAAAAGAUGAACAUUUUCUGUAGGUUAUGUUUUGAGGUGAAAUCCUUCUCUGUGUCUUCAUGCAAAGAAAACAUUUGGCCAACUGACAUGAGCAUGUUUAUUCACAGCAUUAAAAACUUGUUUAAAUUCUC